AAGUCGUAACAAGGUUUCCGUAGGUGAACCUGCGGAAGGAUCAUUACCAAAUCCAAUACCCAACCCCAUGUGAACUCGUGUUUGUCUGUCUUUGGGGGAGAACGUUGUGGUGCACUUGUUGCUCCAUUCUGUUGUCUCCCAAAUGAGUCUUAAUCGGCUCAAUUGACUAAACUACUUUUUAAUAUUUUUUGGAAUAUCUUUAUUAUACUAAUAAAGGACAACUUUUAACGGUGGAUCUCUUGGCUCGUG
rnacentral:misc_RNA from 1 species